AUUGCCACUGUUUCACAAAACCAACAGGCGAACACACAAAGGCUACCUACCUGGUACUGUUUACCAGAAGACAGACAGGGGUUGGACACACACUGAGGACAGCACUGGCCCGGUCGGAUCACCAAGUUCUCGUGCUGAAGGAGGGGAGAAAGAUAAAUCAGACAGACAGACAGAGAGAGCAACACCAACAGGGCCUACAAUACUAGAUCAAGUACAAAUCCAUAUUCUUCUUCUGUGUAUUCAUGAAUGGUGUUUGGCAUGAUGACAGCCCAUGAGUGGAAAGCACCACACCGCGAGGAUGCAGAGGAACUCACCGGUUUGCAGGCCACUUGCUGACACUCUGCCACUGAGCACUGGACUUCCCCGUUGCCACAGACACAUCUGGAGCAAAGGCUGGGCUCCCACUCCUCACCGUCUCUGUACACAGUCCCCUGCCAGGAGCAAGACUCUGACACACACACACCGAUAAACACAGAAUGAGUAAACAAUGAAAAUGGGAGUCAGGUAAUGAGCUGACUGUUCAAGCAUUGUUUGCCCUCACACUCGUUGAUUUACACUGACGAACAAAAUGCGGUCGCUAAUUAGCUGCUAACCGUUGGGAUGCAUCAUAGCAUCUCCGAGACAUCAUUAGAGUCAAGAUUAACCUUUCAGCUCAGCUCCAGCUGCACAGUGCAGUCUGAAAGCCCAAGGUUUGUCACGACAGCAUCCUGUCUGAGAGGUGGCACACAAGAUGGCACACACUCUGAAGGGGAUCCAAGCACCUGAGUGAUCGCUUGCCACGGCAAAUAUCACUAAAUAG